CUCGCGAUCAAUUCGCAGUUCGAACAGCUCGAUGGAAUCGUGCGCGAGUUGUCAGGAUAAUUGCAAGAAGGACGCACGAUGGAGAAGGACGGUUUUUCGAGCUGCUGUUUCAUCAUUUAAAAUCCCGGUCGGUGAUUAAUUAUAUCUGAUUAAAGCCAUCAAAGUUCACAGAGAAUCAGUAAGAUAAAUAAAGCCAUAUUCGCGGAAGGUACGGCUUCAAGAUUCUUCGAGAUCCUUUCGAACAUCGUAACGUUCGUCCCGUUUCGAAACCAAACAUUUCUGAGAUGGCAAAGCUUCGUUGGAAUCCCAAGAAAUUUCCGCAAAAAAUCUCAUCGCUUCCGAUGUGCAUCGUUGAAAAUUAUUUUAGGCUGUUUCGCAAAGUGUUAUCACUCAUUUGUAGAAACAAAAUGGACAAACAAAGAUGGACCGGUGAUUCGUCUGGGCGCAGAUCAUCGAAAGCACACAAAGUACACGAAGAAUGGGAAUACAUCUCCAUACUUUUAUCACGGAAUUAAUUCAACUGCGAUUCUGCGUUUUCGGAUAAAAAAUUUAGGAAUUUGUUCACACCGAGGCAAACGAACAUCAGACAAAUUAAUCUUGAAAAAAUCCAGCUUCCAAUUAAUCUUUCGAAAUUCAUCGUUGAACGGGGUGAAAUCAAUCGAAUAUCAAUAAGCCAUGAUCAAUAUAUUCCGUGAUCCUUAAAGAUCUACCAAUUUCAUUAAGGAUAUGGGAUUUCCGGCUUCCCUUGAUUUCUGAUCGAUUUUCAUUUGGAAAUUCAUUGGACAGCUUCGAUUUUGAGUUAUCAUGAUGUUCGUGGUAAUUCCGCGAAUUUUUGUCGCUAUCUUUGCGAAUCUUGUUCUUGGUAGUGAAAUCGUCGAUGCAGAUUUUUUGGCUAAAAUUUCUUAGACACUUUUUAUCACCUUCGUUGAACGGGUUUCCAAAGCCUUCUUGCGAAUUUUUUUUUGUUUAAAAGGAAAAUUGACUGACAAGAAUUUAUUUAGUGUAAUUUUAUGCAGUUCUAUUUUUUCGUCUGAAUUUAUUAAACUUGAUGAAGUUAAUUUCCGUACAAGUAUCAACGAGAAAAUAUCGGUUAUUUAAUUAUCAUUACAGAACGAAUAAUUUAUUAUUAAUAAUGAUUGUGAAUUGAUGGUGGUCGAGCGAAAUUUGUGAUGCAAAUCACGGUUCAUGACGUCUCUUUUAGUGGUAAAUCAAUAAGCAAAAAAGUAUUUUCUGUUUACAAUACAGUCGAUAUAAUUACUAAUAAUUCUUCUGAAAUACUUGCACGUUAUUUAACUUAAUUAUUUUUAGUAAAUUCGGUGGGAAGAUAGAAUCGUAUUAAAAUAUACUAAUAUAAAUUCUAAUGAAACUUAGAUAACAAAUAUAUUAACGAUGGCUAAUUUGCAAAAUGUUAAUGAACUUUGGGUAAUAAGUAGAAUACAUGAUUAAUAAAGAUCAUUAUUUUGCAAAAUUUCUGAUUUACGAGAUCUGACUGGAAAUUUCAAUUGCGCAAGAAAUUUACAGCCACCUCUCGUAAAUCUACUGUGUUAGUAAGAAUGUGUUAAAAAUCGGUAUACUGUGUUCGCGACAUCGAUAAUCUUAAGUUAUGAAAAAGGGACAGUUUACUAGUCACGUUCGAAGUUUUACUAGUCAAUAGUUGUAUUUUAAUAAUAGUGUCCGCGUGAAAAUUUGUAAUGCAAAUAGUCGUUUGUUACGUAUCUUUCCAGUAAAUCGACGUACAAAAAAGGGAGUUUUAUUUUCAGUGAAAUAGGAAUGGAAUGAAACAACGAUUCGGAUAUCUUUUAUUCUAUUUUAUAUCAUGAUUUAAUACUUUCUUUUUAUUGCAUUAACAUUUUCUUGAUGUUUCUAAAUAGUUGAUGCAUUCUAUUAUUUUUAUCCUUUUUUAUGAUGUGAUUUUUUUUUUAUUGAUUGAAAAGAUCAAUUUUAUUAUUGUAACUUUAAUCCUUUAUCACGAAAUUAUUGCUUGAUUCCAUUCUUCAAUGUUAUUCUUCUUGUUAGUCGUACAUGUAGAAAGAGAUCACAGAUUUGUACAAAUUAAUUAAUUAUUGUAAAAUGCCGACUAUUGUAAGAUUAUGCGAUGAUUGGUUUUAAGUUAGGUUAAUUGAAGAAUUAGGUUGUAACGAUUAAUUUGUAAUUGUAAAUUAAGUACACAUCCAUCAUUGUUGUAAUACAAUUCCCUUAAAAAACCUUUGGUACAAGUUGAUAGCACUAUGAUUAAUGUUCGAAGGAAGAGAUUGUGUAUACUAUCCACUUUAUGUAUUGUACAUUUCAUUGUCUAUGUUUUAUUAUUACGAAGUAGCUGAAAACUUAUGAAACAAAUAUACACGAAUCCUGUUAA